UUUUAUUAAUUUUUCUAUAACAAAGAUCAUAAAAAAAUUAUACAUAAAAAUAUAUUAAAAAUUAAAAAAUUAAACUAAAUUAAGAAAUAAACAAAAAUUUCUUCAUUUUUCCCUCUUUUCUCCGGAAAACCCUCAACUUUCUUAAUCUUCUCUUCAGCAAAUUGUUGUUGUAGCCGCCUUUAUCUUCACUAGAAAACCCCUCUUCACCUCUUUCGAUUCCUCCAAGCUCAAAGGUGAGAAACCUCUGGGUUGCUACUGCCGCCACUUACACCGCUGCUGUCCGAUGAGCUUUUCCGUUACAACAGCCACUGGAGUCUUUCUCUUCUUCUCUUUAAAACUAAGAGCAAUUCCAUGGCUACCUGGGAAGCAUUCAACACAUCCUGUUCAAACGAACAAGUAAAGAAUGGAAUGGCAGUCGAUUUGGAUAAAAAGCAACAUAUGAAUAGUCUCAACAUUAACACAAAGUAAUCACUGUAAAGAUCAAGAAAAUCCCAAAAUGUAAGAUAAUAAAAAAA
rnacentral:lncRNA from 1 species